ACCUCACAAAGCAGGGUGGGUUUCAGCUAACAGAUCUCGGAGGCCAUCCAUCCCAGCACUGACAGUCCCCGGGCACGCAUUGGAAACUGGAUGGCUACGUUGCCAGCCAGAGGGCCAUAAAGUGAAAGUCCAGGAGGGAAGGAAGAGUAGGACACGGAGGUCAACACAAUGGGCAAGACGAGCUAAGAGAAGACCACUGCCUGACAUGAGCUUCUUGUUCCCUCCCCACAAGCAUCCACGGCACAGCCCCCGAAUUGUAUGGAAGCUGAAGGCGUGUUCCUUUGAAAACAACAAAGAACCUCCGUAGAGGGCAAUGCCUAGAAAGAGCACAUGCGAAGCUUCUGUAUUAUGGAGCUGGUGGCAGAGAACCGCCCUGAUAACCUCUCCACACCGAGCAUUUUAUUUUUCCUAGAUGUCUGAAAAAUUCGUGAAUUUAAUGCCAAGGCAGUUACAGGGGUCCGACGCAGGUCAGGCGGUCCCAAUCACCCCUCUAACU